UACAGAGGGGGCAAGCGUUGUUCGGAAUUACUGGGCGUAAAGGGCGCGUAGGCGGCCUGUUAAGUCGAACGUGAAAUCCCCGGGCUCAACCCGGGAACUGCGUCCGAUACUGGCAGGCUUGAAUCCGGAAGAGGAGAGUGGAAUUCCCGGUGUAGCGGUGAAAUGCGCAGAUAUCGGGAAGAACACCUAUGGCGAAGGCAGCUCUCUGGGACGGUACUGACGCUGAGACGCGAAAGCGUGGGGAGCGAACAGG
rnacentral:rRNA from 1 species